rnacentral:rRNA from 1 species
GACGAACGCUGGCGGCGUGCUUAACACAUGCAAGUCGAACGCUGAAGCUCAGCUUUUGUUGGGUGGAUGAGUGGCGAACGGGUGAGUAACACGUGAGUAACCUGCCCCCUUCUUUGGGAUAACGCCCGGAAACGGGUGCUAAUACUGGAUAUUCACUGGUCUUCGCAUGGGGGUUGGUGGAAAGGGUUUUUCUGGUGGGGGAUGGGCUCGCGGCCUAUCAGCUUGUUGGUGGGGUGAUGGCCUACCAAGGCUUUGACGGGUAGCCGGCCUGAGAGGGUGACCGGUCACAUUGGGACUGAGCUACGGCCCAGACUACUACGGGAGGCAGCAGUGGGGAAUAUUGCACAAUGGGCGCAAGCCUGAUGCCGCGACGCCGCGUGAGGGAUGGAGGCCUUCGGGUUGUGAACCUCUUUCGCUCAUGGUCAAGCCGCAACAAUGGUUGUGGUGAGGGUAGUGGGUAAAGAAGCGCCGGCUAACUACGUG